UGGGGAAUUUUGGACAAUGGGGGCAACCCUGAUCCAGCAAUGCCGCGUGUGUGAAGAAGGCCUUCGGGUUGUAAAGCACUUUUGUCCGGAAAGAAAUCCUUCGAGAUAAUACCUUGAGGGGAUGACGGUACCGGAAGAAUAAGCACCGGCUAACUACGUGCCAGCAGCCGCGGUAAUACGUAGGGUGCGAGCGUUAAUCGGAAUUACUGGGCGUAAAGCGUGCGCAGGCGGUGAUGUAAGACCGAUGUGAAAUCCCCGGGCUCAACCUGGGAACUGCAUUGGU
rnacentral:rRNA from 1 species